CCAUCAAUCUUUGACCACCACUUUUCCCCACCACUCAUUUUUCACCCCAACCAUUCACUCUUUCCCUACCAUUUUCCCCCAUCACUCAUCAUUUUUCCCACCACUCAUCACUCAAGUAUGCAGCCAACAAUCCUCCUCUAUUAACUUCAACUCCAGCCAACAGACUCCCCUUUCACUCACAGCAGCGUCGACUUCCCUGCUGCCAUACUUGAACAAGCUUCAGUUCAUUUGAGACUUCAUUAACAGGAGAGAAAGAGCUGCCCAACUUCCGCCAAAUCCUCAAGUUAUUCCUCAUCUCAAUCAUCAAUACCACAACAGCCAACCAACAAGCUAGAUACUCAAGGUAUUUAUGCGACCUCAGUUAUUCAAUCCAGUUUGCAUUCAUACCAUCAAACAUGAUCAGAUUCAAAUGAUAGAUGGCAAUAAGCUUGAUAAACUUAGCAAAGUUACAUACUCUAUAUGAAAUAGCAUUUGUUACUUUCCUGUUGUAUUCAUAUCUAUAGAGCUCAUAACAAUCCACAUAUGCGAACUCAUGAUUUAUGGCAUUUCACGAAAGUAGUAUGAUUCAUACAUUGAGAUAUUACCACUGUACAACCAAAGCCAUAAGAGCUCCCAUCAUGUAGCAACAUGAAUCGAAAUACAAUAGCAGGGGAUAGAACAAAAACUUAGCUUAAGGAAUAGGGUCGACUGCCCUGUUUAGUCGAGCUCAAGGAAGACGACGGCGAAGCCGAAGGUUCCAGCAGCAGCGGCGUCGGGGCUCGGGGAAUCAACGACGACGGUGGCCUGGUGCUCCUACUGCUGUCGAUCCAGAGAUAGCAGUGGGUGGAUGGCGGCUGGACGAGAAGCUGGUCGGCGGAGGGAGAGAUGGUGGGCCGAUCAACUGCUACUCGGCCACGGCCAGAGGAGAUCCGAGGGAGGAGGCGGAUCUGCUGCGAGGACGCCGGAGGCGGCGGCGCAGCCGCUGGAUGAGAGGGAGCUAGGGCUCGGGCGCCGCUCUUCGCGGUGGGAUGCUGGGGUUUAACGCGUCACCGGUCAAAUCUGACCGGAGCAGAUGACGACUGAACGGCCGGCCCAACCGACCAGAGCUUGAACGAGAGAGAGAGAUCGGCUUGGGGGGGGCGGCGGCGUUACCUCAGCAGCGGCGACGUCCAGCGACAUAGCUUCCAGGCGUGUCGGCAGAUGACGCCGACCGGAGCAGGCGGCAGCUGAGUGGCCGGAGAGGGAGGGCCGAUCGAGCGCCGAUUUUGAGAAAGGGAGCGAGCGGCCCUUGAGAGAGAUCAGAGAGAGAAAGGCGAGAAUUGAUUUUGAGGAAAUAGGGAGAGAGAACCGAGAUGUUGGGGGAAGAAAUUUUGGGCUUUUCCUAUUGUAAUUAAAAUUGGGCUUAUUUAUUUUAAUUGGGCUUAUUUAGUUUAA